UGCCCAACGGCCCUCAGGGGCCGCAGCUGGGCCCAGACCCACGGGUGACUCUGCCUCAGACCGGCCCUGAGGCCUCGCUGUGAGUUGCACUGGAUGGGGCUCCUGUUCGAUGCCUCGCUCCUUGAGGAAUAGGUUUCUACCAUGAGUCAUGUGCUAUUGGAAGCACGAAUAGACCUUAGUGUUAUGAUAUAGACCUGCUGGAAAUACUGGGAAACAACACAGACCUGGCCAUAAUGAGAAGACAAAUGAGCAGAGGCUUCCUUAGCUGCGAGACAGGAAGAAGUAGAGUGAAUAGUUUCAUUGGGCUGCUGUGAAUAUAUCCCUCUCUUCUAUUUGCAUGUCUUGCUGUUUUUAUAACAAGAGCAAAACUAAAAAAUCCCCAACUAAACAACAAAC
rnacentral:lncRNA from 1 species